AUAAUACUCCCUCCGUUCAGAAUUACUUGUCGCAAAAAUGGAUGUAUCUAGAUGUAUUUUAAUUCUAGAUACAUCCAUAUUCGAGACAAGUAAUUCCGAACGGAGGGAGUAUAAA
rnacentral:pre_miRNA from 1 species